CAGCCGCCGCGGUAAUACGAAGGGGGCUAGCGUUGUUCGGAUUUACUGGGCGUAAAGCGCACGUAGGCGGACUUUUAAGUCAGGGGUGAAAUCCCGGGGCUCAACCCCGGAACUGCCUUUGAUACUGGAAGUCUUGAGUAUGGUAGAGGUGAGUGGAAUUCCGAGUGUAGAGGUGAAAUUCGUAGAUAUUCGGAGGAACACCAGUGGCGAAGGCGGCUCACUGGACCAUUACUGACGCUGAGGUGCGAAAGCGUGGGGAGCAAACAGGAUUAGAUACCCGAGUAGUCCCUGUCUCUUAUAC
rnacentral:rRNA from 1 species